rnacentral:rRNA from 1 species
GACGAACGCUGGCGGCGUGCUUAACACAUGCAAGUCGAACGAAGUGGAGAACGGGUGAGUAACGCGUAAUCAAACUGCCCUUCAGAGGGGGACAACAGUUGGAAACGAAUGCUAAUAUCGCAUACGGAAGGAUGGGAUUGCGUCGGAUUAGCUAGUUGGAGGGGUAACGGCCCAACAAGGCGAUGAUCAGUAGCCGGUCUGAGAGGAUGACCGGCCACAUUGGGACUGAGACACGGCCCAGACUCCUACGGGAGGCAGCAGUGGGGAAUCUUCCGCAAUGGACGAAAGUCUGACGGAGCAACGCCGCGUGAGUGAUGACGGCCUUCGGGUUGUAAAGCUCUGUUAAUCGGGACGCGGUACCGGAAUAGAAAGCCACGGCUAACUACGUGCCAGCAGCCGCGGUAAUAC